rnacentral:rRNA from 1 species
GAUGAACGCUGGCGGCGUGCCUAAUACAUGCAAGUCGAGCGAACAGAUGAGGAGCUUGCUCCUCUGACGUUAGCGGCGGACGGGUGAGUAACACGUGGAUAACCUACCUAUAAGACUGGGAUAACUUCGGGAAACCGGAGCUAAUACCGGAUAAUAUAUUGAACCGCAUGGUUCAAUAGUGAAAGACGGUUUUGCUGUCACUUAUAGAUGGAUCCGCGCCGCAUUAGCUAGUUGGUAAGGUAACGGCUUACCAAGGCAACGAUGCGUAGCCGACCUGAGAGGUUGAUCGGCCACACUGGAACUGAGACACGGUCCAGACUCCUACGGGAGGCAGCAGUAGGGAAUCUGCCGCAAUGGGCGAAAGCCUGACGGAGCAACGCCGCGUGAGUGAUGAAGGUCUUCGGAUCGUAAAACGCUGUUAUUAGGGAAGAACAAAUGUGUAAGUAACUAUGCACGUCUGGACGGUACCUAAGCAGAAAGCCACGGCUAACUACGU